AGUGAACGCUGGCGGUAGGCCUAACACAUGCAAGUCGAACGGCAGCACAGGAGAGCUUGCCCUCUGGGUGGCGAGUGGCGGACGGGUGAGGAAUACAUCGGAAUCUACUCUGUCGUGGGGGAUAACGUAGGGAAACUUACGCUAAUACCGCAUACGACCUACGGGUGAAAGCAGGGGACCUUCGGGCCUUGCGCGGUUGAAUGAGCCGAUGUCGGAUUAGCUAGUUGGCGGGGUAAAGGCCCACCAAGGCGACGAUCCGUAGCUGGUCUGAGAGGAUGAUCAGCCACACUGGAACUGAGACACGGUCCAGACUCCUACGGGAGGCAGCAGUGGGGAAUAUUGGACAAUGGGCGCAAGCCUGAUCCAGCCAUACCGCGUGGGUGAAGAAGGCCUUCGGGUUGUAAAGCCCUUUUGUUGGGAAAGAAAUCCAGCUGGCUAAUACCCGGUUGGGAUGACGGUACCCAAAGAAUAAGCACCGGCUAACUUCGUGCCAGCCGCCGCAGUAA
rnacentral:rRNA from 1 species